rnacentral:rRNA from 1 species
GAUGAACGCUGGCGGCGUGCCUAAUACAUGCAAGUCGAGCGAACGGACGAGAAGCUUGCUUCUCUGAUGUUAGCGGCGGACGGGUGAGUAACACGUGGAUAACCUACCUAUAAGACUGGGAUAACUUCGGGAAACCGGAGCUAAUACCGGAUGAUAUUUUGAACCGCAUGGUUCAAAAGUGAAAGACGGUCUUGCUGUCACUUAUAGAUGGAUCCGCGCUGCAUUAGCUAGUUGGUAAGGUAACGGCUUACCAAGGCAACGAUGCAUAGCCGACCUGAGAGGGUGAUAGGCCACACUGGAACUGAGACACGGUCCAGACUCCUACGGGAGGCAGCAGUAGGGAAUCUUCCGCAAUGGGCGAAAGCCUGACGGAGCAACGCCGCGUGAGUGAUGAAGGUGUUCGGAUCGUAAAACUCUGUUAUUAGGGAAGAACAUAUGUGUAAGUAACUGUGCACAUCUUGACGGUACCUAAUCAGAAAGCCACGGCUAACUACGUG